UACAGAGGUGCCGAGCGUUAGGCGGAAUCACUGGGCUUAAAGCGUGUGUAGGCGGGCCGUUAAGUGCCCCGUGAAAUCCCCCGGCUCAACCGGGGAACGGCGGGGCAUACUGGCGGCCUUGAGCCACUUAAGGGCAGACGGAACAAGCGGUGGAGCGGUGAAAUGCGUAGAUAUCGGGAGGAACACCUGUGGCGAAAGCGGCUCUCUGGACCACAACUGACGCUGAGGCGCGAAAGCUAGGGGAGCAAACAGG
rnacentral:rRNA from 1 species